AUGGGUUCUUGGCCUAACACACUUGUAUUCCAUGACACCAAACACCGAACCUACCUACCCUGUAUCUUUUCUUUUUUUUUGCUUGAUUCUCUUCUAUCUACUAGCCCAUCACUCUAUAGGGAUUAGCAAUUUUAAAAUGUACCUUGUUUUAAAAGAGACAUAAUUAAGUAUUAUUAGGUCAACAACUUAUCAAUAUCUUUAUUUCGUCUCUGCCAUCUGCUCAUUUUUCAACAAAUACACAUAACUGCCUUUUGCUUUCAAUCCACUUUGUGAAUUUGUCUAUCGCGGUGAGAAUGUGGAUAAUGACCACAUGAUUGGGAUCGUCUGCGUUCCUGGGCAAAGAUGUGUGUUUGAUGAGUAUGGAAUUAACAACCUUCGAUGUGAUCUUGACAUAUGUGACUGUUGUUGGCCAAUAAAAAUCCCAUCGAAAGGCUUUGCCAACUAGUAGAGACUAGAGCACCGCAUGAUCGGCAGCAAACGCUUGAGUGAUGUCGCAUAGAAGUUGUUUUCCUUCUUCCCGAGCAAUGCAUCAAGAUUUUGUGCCUGAGUGUCUGAUCGGUAGAGUUCAAAUCACUGACUACUACAA
rnacentral:lncRNA from 1 species